rnacentral:rRNA from 1 species
UACGAGGGGGCGAGCGUUGUUCGGAAUUAUUGGGCGUAAAGGGUGCGUAGGCGGUUUGGUAAGUCUUGUGUGAAAUCUCUGGGCUCAACUCAGAGUCUGCACGAGAAACUGCCGGGCUUGAGUGUGGGAGAGGUGGAGUGAAUUCCUGGUGUAGCGGUGAAAUGCGUAGAUAUCAGGAGGAACACCUGUGGCGAAAGCGGCUCACUGGACCAUAACUGACGCUGAUGCACGAAAGCUAGGGGAGCAAACAGG